CGCUGCUCUUGUCAGCCAUCUCGUUAGCUUGCUAGCCAACAUAACCAAAACAUUUGAGCCGUUUAGACACUUUCAGUGACGGUUAGCCACUGUGUUUUAACUUUAAACCCACUUCUGUCGUAUCUACUAGUUACCCCAUUUACUGUCAUAUGUACGCUGUUGCUGUUAGUUAGCUAGCUGGCUUGUUAAAUUGGCAGUAGCACUAGGCUAGUCGCUAAUUCUAGCUAAGUGACAUCCUCGACCAUGAGUUCACUGAGUUACUUGCACCCCGCUAAAGAAGAGGGAGCAUGCUGGGCGGAGGAAGAAGCUCUCGUGAAAGUGGAGAGGAGGCUGUUAAACAAGAAGUAGAGGAUGAGGCUGUUUCAGUAGACAUUUCAGUGAAAGAAGAGGAAGAAGCUUUCAGAGUGAAAGAGGAGGAUGUUAAUGUGAAAGAAGAGGAGGAUGCGGUUUUUGUAGUGAAAGGAGGAGGGGGAGGAUGACCGUGCUUCUACACCUGCAUUGCUUGCUGUUUGGGGUUUUAGGCUGGGUUUCUGUACAGCACUUUGAGAUAUCAGCUGAUGUACGAAGGGCUAUAUAAAUAAAUUUGAUUUGAUUUGACUGACAAAGAAGUUUUGGAAUUGAAGGCGGGGGAGAUUGUCACAUUAGAGGAGACUGGAGAUUUAAUGAACACCAGAGAGAGGUCAGACUCUCACUCUGACAGCGGGAAGAGUCCUUCAAGGGAACCAGACCCAGAGACGCCCAAACCAGCGGGACGACACCACACCUCCCAUUGUGGAAAGAGUUGUAAGAGGUUAUGGACACUAAAAGAGCAUGGGAGAACACACAUAGGAGACUUUGGGAAGAGGUUUUGCCAGAUAGACAGCCUGAAACGACAUAAGAGAACACACACAGGAGAAAAUCCUCACCACUGCUUCCAGUGCGGCAAAGGGUUUUACCCGUUUAUGUUACCUGAAAAUACAUGAGCGAAUACACUCUGGAGUGAAGCCUCAUCACUGUUCCCAAUGUGGACAGAGUUUUACCCAUUCAGGGAGCCUGAAAAAACACGAGAAAACACACUCAGCAGAGAAGACCUACCACUGCUCCCAGUGUAGAAAAAUAUUUAUCAGUUUAUGGCACCUGAGAACGCAUGAGAGGGCACACACAGGAGGGGAUAAGGCCUACCACUGCUCCCAGUGUGAAAAGAGUUUUACCCGGUUAGGGAACCUGAGGACGCAUGAGAGGGCACACACAGGAGAGAAGCCAUAUCACUGUUCCCACUGUGAAAAGAGUUUUACCCAGUUAGGGAACCUGAGAACACAUGAGAGGGCACACACAGGAGAGAAGCUUUAUCAUUGUUCCCACUGUGGAAAGAGUUUUAUCCGGUUAGGGCAGCUGAGAACACAUGAGAGGGCACACACAGGAGAGAAGCCUUACCACUGUUCCUAUUGUGAAAAGAGUUUUACCCGGUGGGGGAGCCUGAAAAAGCAUGAGUGGAUACACACACGUGAAAAGCCCUACCAGUGCUCCUUGUGUGGAAAGAGUUUUACCCAGUUAGGAAACCUGAACCAGCAUGAGAGGACACACACAGGAGGGGAUAAGGCCUACCACUGCUCCCAGUGUGAAAAGAGUUUUACCCGGUUAAAGCAUCUGAAUAAGCACGAAAGAAUACAUACACAGGAGGAGAAGACAUACCACUGCUCUCAAUGUGGAAAGACAUUUUCCCAGUCAGAGGACCUGAAAUCACAUGAGAGAGAAUAGAGAGGCUGUGUUCUGACUUAUGUUUUUGAUUGAGAAU